GCAUAUCAAUAAGCGGAGGAAAAGAAACCAACAGGGAUUGCCCCAGUAACGGCGAAGUGAAGCGGCAAGAGCUCAAAUUUGAAAGCUGGCUCCUUCGGGGUCCGCAUUGUAAUUUGUAGAGGAUGCUUCGGGAGCGGUCCCCAUCUAAGUGCCCUGGAACGGGACGUCAUAGAGGGUGAGAAUCCCGUAUGGGAUGGGGUGUCCGCGCCCGUGUGAAGCUCCUUCGACGAGUCGAGUUGUUUGGGAAUGCAGCUCUAAAUGGGUGGUAAAUUUCAUCUAAAGCUAAAUAUUGGCCGGAGACCGAUAGCGCACAAGUAGAGUGAUCGAAAGAUGAAAAGCACUUUGAAAAGAGAGUUAAAAAGCACGUGAAAUUGUUGAAAGGGAAGCGCUUGCGACCAGACUCGCUCGCGGGGUUCAGCCGGCAUUCGUGCCGGUGUAUUUCCCCGCGGGCGGGCCAGCGUCGGUUUGGGCGGUCGGUCAAAGGCCCUCGGAAGGUAACGCCCCUAGGGGCGUCUUAUAGCCGAGGGUGCAAUGCGACCUGCCUAGACCGAGGAACGCGCUUCGGCUCGGACGCUGGCAUAAUGGUCGUAAGCGACCCGUCUUGAAACACGGACCAAGGAGUCUAACAUCUACGCGAGUGUUCGGGUGUCAAACCCGUGCGCGAAGUGAAAGCGAACGGAGGUGGGAACCCUUACGGGUGCACCAUCGACCGAUCCUGAAGUCUUCGGAUGGAUUUGAGUAAGAGCGUAGCUGUUGGGACCCGAAAGAUGGUGAACUAUGCCUGAAUAGGGCGAAGCCAGAGGAAACUCUGGUGGAGGCUCGUAGCGGUUCUGACGUGCAAAUCGAUCGUCGAAUUUGGGGUAUAGGGGCGAAAGACUAAUCGAACCAUCUGGUAGCUGGUUCCUGC
rnacentral:rRNA from 1 species